rnacentral:rRNA from 1 species
GAUGAACGCUGGCGGCGUGCUUAACACAUGCAAGUCGAACGAUGAAGCCCAGCUUUCUGUUUGGUUUAGUUGCGAACGGGUGAGUAACACGUGAGUAACCUGCCCUUAACUCUGGGAUAAGCCUGGGAAACUGGGUCUAAUACCUGAUAGAAGCUUCCACCUCAUGGUGGGUGUUGGAAAGAUUUAUCGGUUUUGUGUGGACUCGCGGCCUAUCAGCUUUUUGGUGAGCUAAUGGCUGACCAAGGCGACGACGGGUAGCCGGCCUGUGAGGGUGACCGGCCACAAUGGGACUGAGACACGGAGCAGAAUCCUACGGGAGGCAGCAGUGGGGAAUAUUGCACAACGGGCGCAAGCCUGAUGCAGCGACGCCGCGUGCGGGAUGACGGCCUUCGGGUUGUAAACAUAUUUCAGUAGGGAAGAAGCGAAAGUGACGGUACCUGCAGAAGAAGCACCGGCUAACUACGUG